UUGCCAGAGGAAGACAGUUUGCUCUUUGGUAGGGCAGGACUCUUGAUUCCAUGUGCUUGAUGCACUACUGUAGGUGCCUGUGCUGAUAAGGCAUAUACUAUGACAACAUGACAGAGUUCAGCAAUGGAAAACAUGCAUGCAGGCCGGGUAUGAUUCAAAGAAAUCGGAGUGAAUGGGGAAAAGUUACUUUAUACUGAGGGUAAAAGGAUGGAAGGGGAAGUACUUCUUCCAUUUGAAGUGAAUAUGUGGAAACCUCAUCAAAAUCCAACACUGAACACAUGUGGCCUUUUGGAAAGCGUCUCCGUGCAAGAGCGUCCCCAGCAUCCAGAGUGAUAAAAAUCAUGUACUGAGCUGAGUCGAAUGGCAUAGCUGAAGCAGAGCUGUAAAUACAGUGGUAGGCGGUUUCCUGCCAAAACUCCCCUGCAUGUCCAAGAACCCACUGUGACUCAGCCAUUGCAGUCACUGGGAACUCGGCACAGACACUCUUUCUAGUUGGGUAUUUCUACUUCUCUUUUUGCACCAUAUCAAGAGGGGCUCCAUUCAUCCCUGGAGGAAAAAACCUGACAACGUGGCCCAAUAUUUUUGUUGUCUUAAAGUAAUGAUCUUGUUGUAGAAGAGCAAGACUGCUCGAUCUUCUUGUGAAAAUGUCAGUGACCCAUGCCUGUAAAACAACCUGUCUGCUUGGAUUCUUGUUAGAUCUUUAUGUGAAAGUUCCUGGGAUUUCCAUUAAUACACUUUAAAUGGGCUCUUACCUGCAUCUCUUGAUGGCCUGAAAGUGAAGUUUUCACUGCUCUUCUUUUAUGUGCAAGGAGACUGAAGAAUGACUGUUCUUUUUAUUUUAAAGAGUGUGAGUGUGAAUAUGCUGAAUGGAUGGAAGAUGAGUAAGUGUUUGGUUAUAAUGCAUUUUUCUAGUGUACCUACUGUUCCUUCCAAGAGUUAGCAUCUUUGGAAAGAUGAUCCAAGCUGGAAGAAGCCAUGCCCUCGGCAAAAUAACAGCAAGAGCAAUGUUGAGUAGUUUCUAGGUCAGCAGCAUCUAGGGUCUCAUCUGCCCAAGAAUAUUUGAAGCUGUCAGAUGUCAUCUCCUCACUCCUCUGGAUUCAUAGCUUUGAUGCUCUGUCAUUUAAGAUAACACUUCCUCUAGUCCAUUUUGAACCUGCACAGAUGGUUGCCUCUGUAUGCAAAAGGUUCUGUACCCACAAAGCUUUACAGUUUUCUGUACCCACAAAGCUUUACAGUUAGCAUUGGCAAUUAAUAAAGCAGACCUGGGAGAUGUGCAGUUCCCAUCAGCUAAGCUAGAAUGGGCCGUUCUGUCCUUUUCCCCUCCUUAUCCCACGCAGUAUUUGUUCUCUUGCUUCUUUCUUUCUUCUCACAUUUCUAGCCUGUCUCAUCUCCUCCAGUUCACAUUCUUAUUCCUAAUUCUCUCUCUUUUUUUCUGUUCUUCCUGUGUUAGUCUCAGCUAAUUCUGUACUGGCCUCUUCCACAAUACUGCUGGAACUCUGUCCCCAUCUGAGCUUUCUCUGCAUGAACAAAUCCCUGUGUCCCAGGUUUAAAAAUGUACUUCGCUCUGCUUUUCUCUGCCUUCCAGCUUCCUGAAUUUUCUGUUACUCUUUUACUGUUUAAUACUUCUUUUACUUUCAAGAUGCUCUGUCUUUUACUUUCUUUCUCUGUCUCCAGUAACGUAUACUUCAGACAGUUUUGUUUUUUAUUCUGAGAAUUUUCUACCUUCUCCAGGUUUCCGUUUAGCAUCUGAAGCAUAUCUGUGGUUCCGUUACUGAACUUCCUUUCUGGGAAGUGCAGGCUCCUUGUACUUUGACUCAGGUCAUUAACAUCAAAGUGGAUUCAUUUUUUCUUGCAAAUUCCCAUAACUACCCACUUUACCCACUUUUAUCCUCUUUUCCUCAAUCCCCUCCACUACCGCACACAGCAGUGCUAUGCGGUUCAUUCUGCUUGAUGAAAGCCACCACAGAGUUGCUGUUCCCCAGACAAGUAACCUGCUGCUGCUCUCACAGCUGCAACUUGUGAAGGAUUUGGUGUGUUUUGAAAUGCUCCAAUCUGAAAACCAAGAGCCAGGGUUUUCACCUAGAGCCGCUGAGGAGGGGAUACCCAAGGAGCUGGCAGCAAGAAGGAGCAGAGGGCAGAGGUGAGGCAUGCAGCGGGUGUCUGGCCUGGGGUACUGACUGGGAGCCAGCCAAAAGGCGAGGGCAGCACUGGGAGUGCCUAGCUCCUGGCUGGGGGCCUGAGGAUACACACUGGCCUGCCACAUCCACCUUCCUCCCAGGGGACUGCCGUAGCCCUCAUAGCUCAGCACUCUUCUGCCAGAAAUACGGCGAUACAGACUGUGAGCACAGUACAUCCACUUCCACACAAAUUUUAAUUUCUGAAUUUUAUUUCACCGAGUGACUAGAAUUCUACUUCUCCUUUUCCCCCACACACUCCUUUUUUAAGUAUAUUAGUACUUAAGGAAAAUAUCUGGCCCACGUGGGUAGCAGCCCCAGUACCCCACAAACACAGAGCGGCUGCUGAGAUCCUGCUUUCUGAGAAGAGCUUACCAGAAUGACCGGAGUGGGGUGAGUAGGCAGAGCCUGGGCUGCUGCAGAGCGCUGCACCCACCUGCGUCAUGCAGGAUGCAAUGACUGCUGCUGCCUGUGCUCGGGACGGCCCGUACUCAUGUCGGCGAGGGAGAGCACUGCACCCUUAUCAGCCGCGGAAGACAAUUAUGUUCUCACUCUCAAUGGAUAAGCCGGAUGCUGGUGGCGGUAAUGGCAGAGUAUUUACAGAAGGCCUGCAGCUGUCAAGCGUGAUGAGCUUCCUCCACUGCCAUUAAAUGCAGUGUGAUUGCUGUGGGAUCACCUCCAGAAAACACUGCCUGUUGAGACAUCAGAUGUUUCUCCUGCAGCUCAGAACACGUCUCCAUGCUGAGCCAGCUCUUUGGUAGGAACUUUGCACACAGUGCUAUGUAACUUUGCUUUUUACUGAAAGGAACGGAUUUUCUGGUUUUGGAAAACAAAUCCAUUACUCGUGUAGCUUGGCAGUACUUCUGCCCUUCAUGUAACAGUUUCUCUAAGGAAAAUCUUUUAAAAGGGACCUCUUAGUCUCUCCUGCCUAUUACACUCUUGAAUUAGGGAGUUAGGGGCCCUGAGUUGGGUCUUAGUUUAACUGUCCACUAAAUUAGGGGCCCU